GCUGGGUGUGGUGGCCCAUGCCUGUAAUCCCAGCUACUCAGGAGGCUGAGGCAGGAGAAUUGCUUGAACCUGGGAGGCAGAGGUUGCAGUGAGCCGAGAUUGUGCCACUGCACUCCAGCCUGGGUGACAGAGCAAGACUCCGUCUCAA
ensembl:misc_RNA Metazoa_SRP Metazoan signal recognition particle RNA